UGGGGAAUAUUGCACAAUGGGCGCAAGCCUGAUGCAGCCACGCCGCGUGGAGGACGAAGGCCUUCGGGUCGUAAACUCCUGUCAAGUGGGAAGAAAGGGCACGGCUGAAUAAGCCGUGUCUGUGACUGUACCACUGGAGGAAGCCCCGGCUAACUCCGUGCCAGCAGCCGCGGUAAUACGGAGGGGGCUAGCGUUAUUCGGAAUUAUUGGGCGUAAAGGGCAUGUAGGCGGCUUGGUAAGUUGAAGGUGAAAUCCCUCGGCCCAACCGAGGAACUGCCUUCAAAACUGCCUAGCUCGAGGCCGGGAGAGGGUAGCGGAAUUCCCAGUGUAGCGGUGAAAUGCGUAGAUAUUGGGAGGAACACCAGUGGCGAAGGCGGCUACCUGGACCGGUUCUGACGCUGAGGUGCGAAAGCGUAGGGAGCAAACAGGAUUAGAUACCCCCGUAGUCC
rnacentral:rRNA from 1 species